rnacentral:lncRNA from 1 species
AGAAAGUCAUGAUGGGACGAACGGUAAUAAAUAUUGGCUUGAGGAGCCAUUACGGGGGACGGUGGUAAAGCGGGAGAGUAGUGAAAACCAUAGAAAAUCUAGAGGAGAAUUACACAAAAAACAAAAGGCAUAGGCACAAUCAUGGAAUAGAAACGGGGAGACUUGAGGAAUCGAUGCACGGUUAGUAUUUAUAUUUUUAGGGUUGCCAUUUAUUUGGUGUACUCAUUAUGCCUACAUGUUCAUGAGCAUUUAGAGGUGCUAACUGCUAAGUCUUGUACUCCUUCUCAUUAACAUUCAUGGUUUAUUGUACUUACUGAAAUAUGUCAUUUAUCUUGAGGAGGGAGUUUCUUUGGGAGAAGCUUCUGAAGUGUCGUCUGUUAGGUGGUCGACCCGAUCCCUCAAUAACUGAAUGUAUUGUCCUCGUGUUGAAUUUUGUCCUCGUGUUGAGUUUUAUCCCUAGCUUCCACAAAGAGUUGUGUACGGUUCACGGAGGGGAUGCCUCGAUUAGUGGAGAUAGAUACUUGCAAAACUUGGGAAAUGUGUCGGUAUAGGGUGCAUGAAUAACAAUAGAGGUACUUAAGUGUACUUCAACCAAAGCUUAAAGGCAACAUGUUUGCAAACAUGGUACCUCUUGAGCUAAAGUGGUACCUUGGUUGCAAGUAAGGGCCCUAUAAGCCUCAAGUUGGUGGUUCGAGUCACCUCGUGCUUAGGUACCUUUAUUAUUAUUCACAUAACCCAUAUUGACACCUUCCUUGAACCUUGUAAGUACCCCCAACUGAGGCAUGCCCCUUUGUGAAGUUUGCACGAGGAGAGAGAUGUAACGAGACACUCAAUAAUUAUUCACCAUUAAAGAAUAUCAUUUUAGGAAUGAAAUAAUUGUGAAUUUUAACGGGUGUUGCAAGAAAUUGUUUGGUUUAAAAAUAAAUAAAUUUCAUUUGUAACUAAAUUGAUUUUAUGAUUUCUUUUAGAUAUCAAAUCUAAAGUCAUUAUUUCGAAAUAGAAGAUAAUACAUGAAUAAAACUUGAAUUUUGUUUUCACAGAUAAAAAAUGAUUUUUUAACAAUUAUUAAAUUGAUUUUAAAAUUUUAUUAAAAAGAUUACGGGCAAAAUAUUAAAAAAGUCCUUAUUUUUUAAAAUUUACCGAAAUUGGCUCGGUAUUUUAUUAUUUACCGGAAUGGGCCAUUUUCUCCGAAAUCGCGUCCACGUCAGCGCGAUGUCAGGGGACGUGUCAGCAAAUCGCGUCUACGUUAGCGCGAUUUGCUUAUGUGGACACAAAUCGCGCCUACGAGGACGUGAUUUGCUGACACGUCCCCUGACAUCGCGCUGAAGUGGACGCGAUUUCGGAGAAAAUGACCCAUUCCGGUAAAUAAUAAAAUAUCGGGCCUAUUUCGGUAAAUUUAAAAAAAAUAGGGCUUUUAUGUGUAAUUUGCCCCCUUUUUUUGGUAUUUUGCCCCUAAUAAUACAUAUUAAUGUAUUACUGUAAUAUGUAGCUCAAAUUAUAUAUUGUAGUUAAUAUUCAUAAUAUUGUAGCUCAAAUUGUCAAUCCGUCUAUACUAUUGUACUAAUAAUAUAUAUUAAUGUAAUAUUGAAGAGUUAAUUGAUUAAAAAAAUAAAUGCAACAAGUACAAAAAAGAUCCAAAAUUAUUACCAACAAGAUUUGAACCAAGGUACUAAGGGAAAAGAGCAAGCAUCUUAACCAACUAAGCUAAACUAAUUAACUAAUAUAUUAUAAAAAUACUGUUAUUAUCUUAAUUAUAUUACUUACGUUCUAAUGAUUUAUCGGACCUAUUCCAUACACGUGUCAAAUCAGAAAAAAUAAUACAACAAUUCUGUAAAAAAAAUUUGGUGUUUACUUCAAAUAAAUAAGGAAAAUAAUGAUUUGAAUGUUUCAAAAUUCAAUUUUAAACCGAAAAAAUCAAAAUUUAGAGGUAAAAAAGGAUCUUUUUCGACGAAAAUUGCGGCAAACCGCCUUCGGCUGUUUGUCAGCGCGUAGAUCUCGAAAAGUUAUUCGAAAUAAAAAAAAUCGUCUCAAUCGGACAACGAGCCAAAAGUUAUGGCCUUUCAAAGUUUUCCAAGCUAAAAAACACAAAUUGUUCAUGAAUUAUUGCUUCCACGUCAGCAAAUCGCGCUUACGUGGACUCGAUUUGUUGCCACGUAAGUAAUCGCGCUGACGUGGACGCGAUUUUCUGACACAUCCCCUAACAUCGCGCUGACGUGGACGCAAUUUCGGGAAAAAUGGCCCAUUCCGGUAAAUAAUAAAAUACCGGGCCCAUUUCGAUAAAUUUUAAAAAAUAGGACUUUUAUGUGUAAUUUACCCAAAGAUUACAUUUAAAAAAAAAUGGUGACAAGUUCAUAUUUCUUAAAAUCCGUGAAACCGUGAGGACAGGUGUUGUGAUGGGAUGACCAUCACUCAUCUCAAAGUGAUCACGUAAAUAAAAAACACAUGCUGAUUUCAGGACAGAAGUAGAUCGGUAGACAUGCAAAUCAUUUCAAGCCUACAUUAGGAAGGCUUUUAAUAGAAAAAAUGGUACCAAUUUGAUGAACCAUAUUCUCCGAAUGUUUGAUGUUAGAGUAAGAUCAUCUAUGUAGACGAUAAUGUGAGAAAUGAUACCAUCUGGAGUUGUUUGAGAUUGUAGAGGGCACAAAGCCAGCGAGGAGGUUGCUCAAUGAAACCUUGGAAGGCAUUUAUUCAUUCAGGUCGAGUUGGCAAAGAGUAAGAAAGAGACAGGUAAGUCAUUAUGUGCAGACAAUGUAUCAAGGUCAUCCCCACAAUUCUUGUCGGACAUUUUGUUUGGAGAUCAAGUCAUGCUUUGCUACGUCUCUUGAGUUGGGCCGUCAAGUGGUGUUCUGCUAUUAGCUGCUAGUUUCAUCAAAAUUUUGACCAACUUAAUCAUGUCCUCAUUCAUAAUUUUUUAGUCAAUUUUUUUAUGAUUCCAUACUGAUAUUCAAUAACAUAGCACCAUGUGACUGGAUAAAAUUAAGAUAUAUGGAAAAUAUUAUUUGAAAAUAGAUUUUUUUUUUAAAAUUACAAUAUAAAAAUUUAUAAAAAGAAUAUAUAAAAGAAAAAUUCAAGAAAAAAUCUAAAAGCCAGAAUUUUUUUAAAAGUUUCUUUAAAAAUAAUUUUUAUAUUAUUAUUUUUUAAUAUUAUAAAAAAUACGCGAUUAAGAUUUGAAUAUGG